rnacentral:rRNA from 1 species
GACGAACGCUGGCGGCGUGCUUAACACAUGCAAGUCGAGCGGUAAGGCCUCUUCGGGGGUACACGAGCGGCGAACGGGUGAGUAACACGUGGGCGACCUGCCCUCAGCUCUGGGAUAAGCCUGGGAAACUGGGUCUAAUACCGGAUAUGACCUCUUGUUGCAUGACUUGGGGUGGAAAGUGUGUCCUUCGUUGGGUCGCUUCGGCGUGGGGAGUGGGGCCCGGCGGCCUAUCAGCUUGUUGGGGGGUUGGAGUGGCCUACCAAGGCGACGACGGGUAGCCGGCCUGAGAGGGCGGACCGGCCACACU